rnacentral:rRNA from 1 species
UGGGGAAUUUUGGACAAUGGGCGAAAGCCUGAUCCAGCAAUGCCGCGUGUGUGAAGAAGGCCUUCGGGUUGUAAAGCACUUUUGUCCGGAAAGAAAUCCUUGGCUCUAAUACAGUCGGGGGAUGACGGUACCGGAAGAAUAAGCACCGGCUAACUACGUGCCAGCAGCCGCGGUAAUACGUAGGGUGCAAGCGUUAAUCGGAAUUACUGGGCGUAAAGCGUGCGCAGGCGGUUUGCUAAGACCGAUGUGAAAUCCCCGGGCUCAACCUGGGAACUGCAUUGGUGACUGGCAGGCUAGAGUAUGGCAGAGGGGGGUAGAAUUCCACGUGUAGCAGUGAAAUGCGUAGAGAUGUGGAGGAAUACCGAUGGCGAAGGCAGCCCCCUGGGCCAAUACUGACGCUCAUGCACGAAAGCGUGGGGGAGCAAACAGGAUUAGAUACCCUGGUAGUCCACGCCCUAAACGAUGUCAACUAGUUGUUGGGGAUUCAUUUCCUUAGUAACGUAGCUAACGCGUGAAGUUGACCGCCUGGGGAGUACGGUCGCAAGAUUAAAACUCAAAUGAAUAGACGGGGUCAUAGCUGUUUCCU